rnacentral:rRNA from 1 species
AGCAUUAUUCACACCACGUUAAAUAUAUCGGUACUCGUCCGAUCACCGAAACUAAAGAGCGUCGGUGGCGGUUAGUACCCAGAUGGGGGGCAACUUGGGAACGCCGCUUGUCGUUGGCA